rnacentral:rRNA from 1 species
CCCGCUGAACUUAAGCAUAUCACUAAGCGGAGGAAAAGAAAUUAACUAAGAUUGCCCCAGUAACGGCGAGUGAAGCGGCAAAAGCCCAAAUUGGAAAUCUUCGCGUUUCACGCGACGAAUUGUAAUCUAUAGUUUGGUAGCUCACCUAGCGGUGGCGCAGAAGUGACUUAGAACGGUCCGCCAGAGAGGGUGACAGCCCCGUAUGUGGUGCCACUGCUUAACGAGCUCCAUUCCAAGAGUCGGGUUGUUUUGAAUUGCAGCCCUAAUCUAGGAGAUAGACUUCUUCUAAGGCUAAAUAUUUAUGGGAAACCGAUAGCGAACAAGUACUGUGAAGGAAAGAUGAAAAGAACUUGAAAAGAGAGUCAAAAGACUUGAAAUCGUUGAGAAGGAAGCGGUAGGAAUUUAUUCUUCUGCGUAGAAUAAUGGUGUUCGGCUUGCGUAUUGGGGCUAGUGAGUACGUCAAAGGCUUACGGUUUCACGUGCGUAACUGAUAGCUGGAUUCUGCGUGGUGAGGCAAAAUGGGGCUUCGCAUCCACAAAAGCUUGGCAAACCUGGGGGGCUUCGGUUCUCAGUUUGCCUUUGCUAGUGGGCGCGGUGCUCGAGGACGUCUUGUACGAUUUUGCCAAAAUGGUUCUUACCGACCCGUCUUGAAACACGG